CACCAUUGUUUUGACUACUAGAACGAGUGGCGGAAGGGCCUCAAAGCAUUAAGAGCUGACACAGUACAGAAAUUGAAAAAAGCACUUCCAGAACUUGAGAAGGAGGUUAGAAGGGCCAUCAAAUUUUGUGGUACUGCUCGACAGAGGAGAAGCAGAAGAGCAUAGACAUUGAGAGCAUUUGUCUCCUGUUGGAUCUCGUUUUAGGGUCUCAAUUUCGGCCCCAAGUUGACUCUCUGAUUCAGUAUUUGAGAGUGAGUUACCCUAUGUCUCCUCUUGCUAUUUAAUUGUCCGAUUUUUAAUUCAUUUAAAAUGUCCAUUUGGUUGGCAGGGUAUAUUACAAGAACUAUAUAAUUGUUAGGUUUUACUGGGGCUAAUCUGAUAAUGCCUUUAGGAUGCUUUUGGAGCUCUUUUUAGGGUGAAAAUUAUUAGUUUGACCGAAAAAUCGCAGUUGCAUUCUAUGGCUCCUUUAAUUGUGGAUGCUCAUUGACCUCCCUGUAAAAGGGGACUGUCCUAUUGAACAUCAUAUGCUGCUUUUAGUCACUUUGUCAUAUUUUAUAACCCAAAGAGGUUGAGUGAAUAGGCAGAGUAAAAC